UACGUAGGGUGCAAGCGUUGUCCGGAAUUAUUGGGCGUAAAGAGCGUGUAGGCGGUCCGGUAAGUCGGCUGUGAAAGUCCAGGGCUCAACCCUGGGAUGCCGGUCGAUACUGCCGGACUAGAGUUCGGAAGAGGCGAGUGGAAUUCCCGGUGUAGCGGUGAAAUGCGCAGAUAUCGGGAGGAACACCAAUGGCGAAGGCAGCUCGCUGGGACGUUACUGACGCUGAGACGCGAAAGCGUGGGGAGCAAACAGG
rnacentral:rRNA from 1 species